rnacentral:rRNA from 1 species
GACGAACGCUGGCGGCGUGCUUAACACAUGCCAGUCGAACGGAAAUGCCCUUCUUUUGUUGGGUGCUCGAGUGGCGAACGGGUGAGUAACACGUGAGUAACCUGCCCUUGACUUUUGGAUAACUUCAGGAAACUGUGGCUAAUACCGGAUAGUAGCUCCUGCUGCUUGGUGGGGGUUGGAAAGUUUCGGCGGUUGGGGAUGGACUCGCGGCUUAUCAGCUUGUUGGUGGGGUAGUGGCUUACCAAGGCUUUGACGGGUAGCCGGCCUGAGAGGGUGACCGGCAACAUUGGGACUGAGAUACGGCCCAGACUCCUACGGGAGGCAGCAGUGGGGAAUAUUGCACAAUGGGCGGAAGCCUGAUGCAGCAACGCCGCGUGCGGGAUGACGGACUUCGGGUUGUAAACCGCUUUCGCCUGUGACGAAGCGUGAGUGACGGUAAUGGGUAAAGAAGCACCGGCUAACUACGUG